UCUAGUAUAAGCAAUUAUACCGUGAAACUGCGAAUGGCUCAUUAAAUCAGUUAUCGUUUAUUUGAUAAUACCUUACUACUUGGAUAACCGUGGUAAUUCUAGAGCUAAUACAUGCUGAAAAUCCCGACUUCGGAAGGGAUGUGUUUAUUAGAUAAAAAACCAAUGCCCUUCGGGGCUUUUUGGUGAUUCAUGAUAACUUUACGGAUCGCAUAGCCUUGCGCUGGCGACGGUUCAUUCAAAUUUCUGCCCUAUCAACUUUCGAUGGUAAGGUAUUGGCUUACCAUGGUUUCAACGGGUAACGGGGAAUUAGGGUUCGAUUCCGGAGAGGGAGCCUGAGAAACGGCUACCACAUCCAAGGAAGGCAGCAGGCGCGCAAAUUACCCAAUCCCGACACGGGGAGGUAGUGACAAUAAAUACUGAUACAGGGCUCUUUUGGGUCUUGUAAUUGGAAUGAGUACAAUUUAAACCUCUUAACGAGGAACAAUUGGAGGGCAAGUCUGGUGCCAGCAGCCGCGGUAAUUCCAGCUCCAAUAGCGUAUAUUAAAGUUGUUGCAGUUAAAAAGCUCGUAGUUGAAACUUGGGCCUGGCUGGCGGGUCCGCCUCACCGCGUGCACUCGUCCGGCCGGGCCUUCCUUCUGAAGAACCUCAUGCCCUUCACUGGGCGUGCUGGGGAAUCAGGACUUUUACUUUGAAAAAAUUAGAGUGUUCAAAGCAGGCCUUUGCUCGAAUACGUUAGCAUGGAAUAAUAAAAUAGGGCGUGCGUUUCUAUUUUGUUGGUUUCUAGAGACGCCGCAAUGAUUAACAGGAACAGUCGGGGGCAUCAGUAUUCAGUUGUCAGAGGUGAAAUUCUUGGAUUUACUGAAGACUAACUACUGCGAAAGCAUUUGCCAAGGAUGUUUUCAUUAAUCAGUGAACGAAAGUUAGGGGAUCGAAGACGAUCAGAUACCGUCGUAGUCUUAACCGUAAACUAUGCCGACUAGGGAUCGGGCGAUGUUCUUUUUCUGACUCGCUCGGCACCUUACGAGAAAUCAAAGUUUUUGGGU
rnacentral:rRNA from 1 species